rnacentral:lncRNA from 1 species
GGGAAGUGGAGGUGCCACGAGCCAGAGCUUUGUGCGAGGUGAGAGCAGCCCCUCUGCACCUCGGGCUGCCAAAAACAGAGCUGGCUUUCACCUCCCAGCCCCGUCCCCUCCGGGAAGCAAGACGUGAGCUCCUCGUUUCCAGCACCAUCAGGACAUGAGCUCCUCAUUGCCAGCACCAAGCAGGACGUGAGCUCCUCAUUGCGAGCGCAUCUCCGGGCUGGAGCAAUCAGCACACAGCAGGCAUGCACAGACAAGUGUCAGCUGAAUCUCUGUGCGAUUUUAAAUACAUUAGUGAGGCCACGAGUACAGCUCCGAGCCGAUAAAUAACCCCCAAACCAACCAGCAGGAAAAUAACCCCCUCCUUCCACCGGAGACGAGGCAGGAGGCAACGUUAGCAUCGCUUUCCCCCUUGUGUCUAUGAGCGGAUCUCUGUGCUUUAAUCCAGACCCACAAGGGUCAAUUCUCUGCCACUUCUGCGGAGUCAUUAUACUGCCUGUUAUAUAAAUGUCUGGGCAUGCACAAAAGGCAGUGCUGGUACAGAGGCUCCGACACAACUCUCUCCAACACCUGCUUUCAGCUGGGGAGAGAGCCGAGCGCGAGAGCAUCUCGAGAGCUGUCACACUGAAAGCUGCUGUCUUUCAAGCUGAAUGGAGGUCUAAAUAGCUCUCACUUCUCCUUUAGAAUCUCAUUUCUAAAUGCAAUUAAUACUGGCACAUGCAUAAUGAGAGGCUGACGAGUGAAUGCAGACUCCGGCAGCAAGAAGGCAGCCCAAGUGCUAUGUAAAUAUUACAAAUCCUCACUCAGAGCUGACCUGGGAAGACAGCUUUCUGAUGAUUAAACCCAAGUGACAAUGCCACUGGAUUCCUACAUCUGUCACAAUACUACCUGCUGCUACAUAAUGAGCUACGCCAAAAGAAUCAGCUCUUGCUGCUCUUUAAUGCAGAUAAAAUGUCUAUUUGCAGAGGGUAAUUAAUCUCUUCUUCAAAACUGGGAACCUUAGUGUCCUUGGUAACAACAUGCCAGUGAUUCAGAGCGAGUCCCAGCCUUCUCCUCUGGUUUUUGAGUGAGGUACUGGAAGUGACCCCCAGUUCUUGCAAUGGGAAGGAGACGGGCAUCACAGCUGGAGGAGCCAUGGGGUGCAUGGGGUGGGGGAGGGUUCAGCCCUGCUCCGGGCUCUCUGCUGGUUUGGGUAGCCCAACCUUGGAGGGGGCGGCCAAUGUUAGGUCCCCAAGGUGCAAAUCUCCCUUGAUCCCACUGCUCACCACCGGGUGACCACGCGGAAGUGGAGCAGCAGUGCAAAUCACGGCGUCACACUGCUCCCUGCUCUGCCCCGGCUCCCACCAAUGGGAUGGGACCCAAAAGGUGAAUCCUCCACCCCAAAGCACUCGGGGGCUGCAGCAGCUUUCUAUGAACAUCGCUGGGAAGCAGCCGCUGCCGCCGGGUUCUGCUCACUGACCCAAUUCCAAAGCCCGAGGGAAGGACGCGCCGUGAUAAAGGGAGGGAUGCUGGAAGGAAGCGAUGAGGAAUUGUAUGAUUUAUUUAUUUCCUGGCAAAAAAAAAAAAGAAGAAAAAAGAAAGAAAGGAAAAAAAAAAAAAAGAUGUGUUGGCUAAAAUCAGCAUAUUCCAGGCCAAACUGUGCUGCAGCAGAGCCUCGUGGGGCUUCAGCUGAGCAGAGCUGGGGGAAAACAUGGGGAAAACAUGGGGAAAACUUGGGGAAAAUAUGGGGAAAACAUGGAGAAAAGGUGGGUUUGGGUGAUGGUGAGGGCUCAGCUCCUUCAUUGCCAUGCUGUGGAAGUUAGCACCUUCCAUUUGGAAAGCCAAAUGGGUUCAGAUGCUCCCAGUGUAGCCCGGUCCAGGCUCAGCCCAUGUUUUCCAUCCUCAGGCACCCCGAGGGAGAGGAAGAGGAGUCCAGGAGGGAGGAAGGCUCUGAGCCUCGCGCCACCUAACGCUGCUGCAGAGCCAGACCAGGAUUUACAGGUCUCUUUGCCUACUGGUGAGGCUGCGUGAGCUCUGGAAAGUGGCUGCUCCUGAGGUGCGUGGAAAUAGAGACACAGAGCCUGAACUGGGCAGACCAGGGGGGGGGAAAGCCCUUUCUGGUGCUUCCAACAGCUGCCCAGCUCCCAGGUGAGGGCACAUCCAGCCACGCGGAUGGGGGGAGCGUCCUGGAUCACCUCACCCAUCUCAGCUGCCAGCACCAACUAACAGCUCCUUCUCCUCCUGCAGCCACAGAACACGCCGAGAACCCCUCCAAAACCCACCUCCAUGGUGCAGCUCGGGGUAAACCGAGGCCAAAUGCUGCAAAUCCCGAAUGCUGGGUCCGGAGGGGCUUUGGGUAACCCCACAGCGAUGCCCUUUGGGAGCCAUAAGGCAGCCCAUGGGCACGGGGCGAUGGCACGUUGUGCUCCCGGCGCUGGGACUCUCCCAGCUCUCCCACCCGUGCACACACAUUAAUAAAAGAUCAGUUUGCAGACGCAGCUUGCUGUAGACGACAGCAUUAGAGGCGCAUCUGGUUUCUGCUAAGCACCGGUCUCGUGCUGGGUUUAUUUGGUCCAUUUGUGGCAGGGAAGAGUUGCUUUCAGCAUUCAAUGGUGUCUCAUGUCUGGGAGAGGUGGGGGGGGAAGAUGUAUUUUUGGUGCAGCUUAGCCACAAAAAUUCAGUCUCGGAAUAAAGACAAAUAUUCCUGUUUUC